rnacentral:rRNA from 1 species
CCUACGGGAGGCAGCAGCAGGGAAUMUUGCGCAAUGGACGGMAGUCYGAUGCAGCGACGCCGCGUGGGUGAAGAAGGCCUUCGGGUUGUAAAGYCCUUUUCAGGGGGAAGAGAGAGGACGGUACCCUUGGAAUAAGCGUCGGCUAACUACGUGCCAGCAGCCGCGGUAAU